AAAACUAGAGAAAGUUAUUAUUUCGCGACGAUUUAAAUUUUUCCACUUAACAAUCGUGUAUUCAACGAAUAAACUAGUGCUCGAUGCAAAUAACAUUCCAUUUAAAUAAUAGCUCGUAAUUGAAUACAAUGAUUGUUUUGUAGACGCAAGUUACCUAUAAGGAAUUCUGUUUAGUUACUGAAACAAAAGUCGACACAGUUACAUAGACAGAAAGACGACCCUAUUUACGCUGGAGCAUCUAAGAUGCUCACGGACAUCACCAAUUUCGGGGGCACAGCCAAGCCGCUACAUACCAUUAAGAAAUCUUGAAACUAGUCUGAAGAAGGACAAGUCAUAGUUCACGGGAAACGCUGUGGAGGGAUUCGGAAAAUUUUCCGAAACGCAACUCUGCGAAAUGGUUCCAGGAAAUAGAGAUGUACUUCGUUGCUGUGGCAGGCGAUACGAUUGAAAAAUUGGAAAAUUCACAAUUCAAUUUUAAAAAUUGCACACAAUAAUUUAAUUUUCUUAUAGCAUCGGUUAGUUUGUGAAUUGUUAAAACUGCGAUCGAUCGCUAAUAAAAAAUACACCAAUGCAAAACCCGAUGAAAGCACUAAAGAUAGUACACAUAAGGUCCACUUUGUAUCGAUCAAUGAAAACGCGGAUUGAAACUUUCGUACAUGAGUAACUACACGCGCGACUCUGGUACCACGCUGUCUGACAAGCUGAUUGGUCACCGAACACUCGAUUUAUAAUAAGUAAUCAAUUUCGAACUACAUAAUAACAUGUCAUUGUAUAUCUUUUUCGUGGAAACUGACCCAAAACAAUUUAAGUAGUAAACAAUGAUUAGAACAUAUUUUUUCCCUAAAGUCGCAACGGCGUUUUCAUAGCGUUUUCCUUUUGGUUAACUAAUUACCUGUUUGUUCUGGUACAAAUUAUAUUCAUAACAAUGCAAUUAACGGCCGUCUGGUGUAGUGGUAAGUGACAUGGUCACUACACAAGGGGGUCGCGGGUUCGAAUCCCGGCAAGGGAAGAUAUUUGUAUGAUAAAUAUAAAAAUGUCUUUUCCAGGAUUAUGGAUGUACCUAUAUUAAUUAAAUGUAUGUGUAUAAUAAAAA